rnacentral:rRNA from 1 species
UCUCUCUGAAUCUGCGAACGGCUCCGCAAACCAGUUGUAAACCACAGCAAGCUUGAUCUGGCGAGGCCCCUCGGGGUAGUAGCCAGAAUUAUAUGGAUACCCCUGGUAAUUCUGAGGCUAAUACUUGACACGGAACCUGCUGACUGGGCCUCGGUCCGGGAGGUAGGGGAUGUGCGACCAUCGGGCCAAAGAAACCGGAAAGAGCGCACGUUCAGACCACUUAAAAAGGCCACGGGGUCCCUCGGGAUCUCGGGGCUGUGGCUCUUGCAGCGUGCUUCUGACCUAUCAACUAGACGGCAGCCUAAGGGACAUGCUUUGGUGACAACGGGUACAGAGGAUAAGGGUUCGAUCCUGGAGAGUGGGCCUGAGAGAUU